rnacentral:rRNA from 1 species
GACGAACGCUGGCGGCGUGCUUAACACAUGCAAGUCGAACGGAAAGGCCCUGCUUUUGUGGGGUGCUCGAGUGGCGAACGGGUGAGUAACACGUGAGUAACCUGCCCUUGACUUUGGGAUAACUUCAGGAAACUGGGGCUAAUACCGGAUAGGAGCUCCUGCUGCAUGGUGGGGGUUGGAAGGUUUCGGCGGUUGGGGAUGGACUCGCGGCUUAUCAGCUUGUUGGUGGGGUAGUGGCUUACCAAGGCUUUGACGGGUAGCCGGCCUGAGAGGGUGACCGGCCGCAUUGGGACUGAGAUACGGCCCAGACUCCUAAGGGAGGCAGCAGUGGGGAAUAUUGCACAAUGGGCGGAAGCCUGAUGCAGCAACGCCGCGUGCGGGAUGACGGCCUUCGGGUUGUAAACCGCUUUCGCCUGUGACGAAGCGUGAGUGACGGUAAUGGGUAAAGAAGCACCGGCUAACUACGUG